rnacentral:rRNA from 1 species
AACGCGAAGAACCUUACCAGCCUUUGACAUGUCCACUAUGAGUUUCCGAGAGGAAAUUCUUCACUUCGGGUGGGUGGAACACAGGUGCUGCAUGGCUGUCGUCAGCUCGUGUCGUGAGAUGUUGGGUUAAGUCCCGCAACGAGCGCAACCCUCAUCUUCAGUUGCCCCCGGGUCAGGCCGGGCACUCUGAAGAAACCGCCGGUGACAAGCCGGAGGAAGGCGGGGAUGACGUCAAGUCCUCAUGGCCCUUACAGGCUGGGCUACACACGUACUACAAUGGUGGUGACAGUGGGUUGCGAAGGCGCGAGCCGGAGCCAAUCCCCAAAAGCCAUCUCAGUUCAGAUUGUUCUCUGCAACUCGAGAGCAUGAAGUUGGAAUCGCUAGUAAUCGCAGAUCAGCACGCUGCGGUGAAUACGUUCCCGGGCCUUGUACACACCGCACGA